GAACUCAUGGAAAAAUUAUCUGAACCAUCAACUUUCUGAUUGUAUCAAUCAAGCAUUUAAGAAGGGUGUAAGCAAGUUGGGGGGAAAACCUUAAAAAUUGGACUGAAGG
rnacentral:snoRNA from 1 species